AUCAGAGGCACAGACAGUAAGGGCUACAUGGUCUUGCUGAGCUGUCCACCCAGCAAUUAGAGGGGCAUGAGAAGCUGCACAGUGACAACCACAAGGAAGUCAUCAGCAUGAGUCAUCUGCAAAUAUAGCCAACUCCAUGUCAUCUCCUUGCUUCAGCAGGGGAGAAGGUGGUUUUCCCAGAAGGAGCUAGAAUAUGCCUGGCUCUGGCAGAGGUCCAAACACAGGAGAAAGACGGGGAGUUUUUGAAGUUCUCUCUCUCCUACUGUGCAAAUUAAAGGUCCACUCAUCUUUCUUACCCUCUGACCCUGAGAGAAACACACAGCUCAGGAACCGUUGAACUCAGCCGCUGUGAGGACCGUGUGACUCAUUCCGGGAAAGAACUUUCCUCUGCCAUUCUCUGAAGGGGAUUCAACCUCGUCCAUCAGCUAUUAGCUCAGCUUUUUAAAUUAACCAUAUCAAGACCCACCAACAUUGCCUAGAAAAAAUCAUGUGUUGAUGUGUUGUUCAUGUAUUUGAAGACAAAAGGACUGUGAGAGUCGGAU
rnacentral:lncRNA from 1 species